CCUACGGGAGACAGCAGUGAGGAAUAUUGGUCAAUGGGCGAGAGCCUGAACCAGCCAAGUCGCGUGAAGGAUGACGGCCCUACGGGUUGUAAACUUCUUUUGUCAGGGAGCAAUCGGGUCCACGCGUGGGCUUAGCGAGAGUACCUGAAGAAAAAGCAUCGGCAAACUCCGUACCAGCAGCCGCGGUAAUACGGAGGAUGCGAGCGUUCUCCGGAUUUAUGGGGUUAAAGGGGUGCGUAGGCGGAAUAUCAAGUCAGCGGUAAAAAUUCGGGGCUAAACCCCGUCGUGCCGUUGAAACUGAUGUUCUUGAGUGGGCGAGAAGGAUGCGGAAUGCGAGGUGUAGCGGUGAAAUGCAUAGAUAUCACGCAGAACUCCGAUUGCGAAGGCAGCAUACCGGCGCCCAACUGACGCUGAAGCACGAAAGCGUGGGGAUCGAACAGGAUUAGAUACCCGGGUAGUC
rnacentral:rRNA from 1 species